CCAGUUUUUGCUCGAAAAAUACAGCCCUGUUGGCUCUGUUUCUGCUCGAAAAAUAGAGGAAACAAAAUAGAAAGGAAGGCUCUGUUUCUUUUCGAAAUAGAGAGGAGAGAGGAGAGAGGAGAGAGGAGAAAGAGAAAGGAGAAGAAGCAUACAUGUGAAGCUUGAAGAAGACUGGGCAGUGAGCACUGCCUUGUUGGUAGGUGAGAAAAGUGAAGAUUUUUGUCAAAAAGCCGUAAUCGCGGGUCCCCAAAGGGUAUGUUGUUUUAUUGGUAGGUGAGAAAAGUGAAGACUUUUGUCAAAAAGCCCUAAUCGCGAGUCCCCAAAGGGUAUGUUGUUUUAUUGGUAGGUGAGAAAAGUGAAGACUUUUGUCAAAAAGCCCUAAUCACGGGUCCCCAACUUAAGUAUUGCCCGUUUCUCUUCUUUUUUAAAAAUAGCGACACAACAAUCGCCUCACGCCACACAGUCGCCUCACGCUACACAUAGAGAGGCGAAUGCUAUAUUGAAUCGCAACGCCACAGCCCAUCUGUAGCGACACAUGCUCGCCUCGCCUCGCUUCACGCUAUUAGCGCUGAGGCGAGCGCUAUUUACAACACUGCUUUCCACGUGAAAGAGGUAAGGGGAGUAGGCAUAAUACUGGAAAGUAUGGACUCGGUGUUUAUCCCUCAAUCAAAGACACUAUUUACAACACUGGAUGUGUAUUUAUAAAAAUUCUUCCUUUCAAACUUUAAA
rnacentral:lncRNA from 1 species